rnacentral:lncRNA from 1 species
ACUGUAGCUGUCUUCAGACAUACCAGGAGAGGGCACCAGAUUCUAUUACAGAUGGCUGUGAGCCACCAUGUGGUUGCUGGGAAUUGAAUUCAAAACCUCUGGAAGAGCAGCCUUAACCACUGAGCCAUCUCUCCAGCCCCCACAUCUUAUCAUUUCUAUUGUCAGAACUGGAGUUUAUUGUUAGAACCAAAGGCUUUUGAAAAGAGCCAUGAUAUUUUUGAUAUUUUUCAGUAUUCUCAAAAGAAGCAAAUAUUUGUCCUUUGAAAGUAGGUAUAUAUAUGUCUGUGUGUGUGUGUGUGUAUAAUUAUAUAGUUACUCAGGAAUAUUUAUUGUAAUGAACUUUUUUUUGAAGACAGGGUUUCUUUGUGUGGCCUUGGCUGUCCUGGAACUUGCUCUGUAGACAAGGCUGGCUUUGAACUCAGAAAUCUUCAUGUUGAGGCUACAUUUUAUAGCAUGCCAAGCAAGCAGUAUCAUUCAACCUCUGUAUGACAAAUCUUUCUUUUACAUUAUAGGUGUGUACUAAUGAAGAACAGGAUAUUUUACAGCGGGACUCAAACAAAAGUCAGAAACUGCUGAAGAAGCUCAUGUCAGGUAAACCCUAGGUUUCUUUCUUGCUUUCUUUUUUCAUUCUUUGAGACUGGGCCUUCUUGUGUACCCCUGGCUGGCCUGGAACUCACUCAUUAGACCAGGCUGGUCUUGAGCCUACCUCUGCCUUCCAAGUGUCCCAGCCUGCCAGACAAUCGAACAGGGUCUGAGGAACCACCUGUGGAGAGAAUGGGGGGCAAGAAACACAAAGAACAGACAGCAAGUCAAGAAAUACUGAUCAAGCUGACAUUUUUCCCAGACAGGUUUUAUGCCCAUAGAAGCAGAAUAUGGGGAGGGGGAUAACUCAGAAUCGCUUUGUUUCUGGGAGAACACACCUGUUCCCAAAAGCAGGAUAUUGGCUAGGUUAAAAAGUUCAGCAGGAGAAGCAGAACAGAAUGGGCUGCUAGGUACCUGUCCACAAGAUCUAUAGCUAUAUGUUCUUAACUGGGGGUAACACUUUCCUACAGAGGCCUCAACUUUUUCCCACAGAAAUCUCAAUCAAGCUAGUACUUUUCUACUAAGGCCAAGACUUUGUAAGUAAGCACUUAUGGCUGACAAGGCAGUUAACAUUCAAACAGGGUUGCUCCCAACAUCCAGGUACCAGGAUUAAAGGUGCACAUUGUUAUCUGGCUAAGAUGAUGGGGUGUGGAGGGGUGUUGUUUUGGGGGGUGUUGGGGUUUUUUUUCAAGACAGGGUUUCUCCCUGUGUAGCCCUGGCUGUCUUGGAACUUACUCUGUAGACCAGGCUGGUCUCAAACUCAGAAAUCCACCUGCCUCUGCCUCCCAAGUGCUGGGAUUAAAGGCGUGCACCACCACUGCCCAGCUUUUUUUUUUGUGUGCUGGCAAUUGAACCUGAGCCCUCAUGAUUGCUAAGCCAUGUCUCUAGCCCCUCAACAAGCAUUUUAAAAAAUGUAUUACUAAGAACUACAUACUAUUGAGCAACAAAAUAAAUAGUAAUAGUAGGUUAUAACAGAAAAAAAUUAAUAUUCAUAUUCAUUCUGUAACAAACAUAACAAACGAAACAAUAAAGAAGAGUCCAACUCUAACAAAAGAAUUUAGAUUAAUAAAGUAGAAAGAAAUGAGUCUAACAGAAAAUCACCAUCAGAGCAUGAAUGGUAGUUCUAAUUGCUGCUGGCAAGGCACUUCAGUGAUGGUGUAAACAUUUAAGAAUAGCAUACUUUCAAGGACAGGAAAGAUAAAAGAGGCUGUAGAGAGGCUAGAUUGAAGCAAGCUAAGUUAAAACUAAUGCAGUGACAUUUGAAUUGGUUCCUAAAACAGAAAAGUGAUAGU